UAUCAAAAUCAAUGAAGUGUUGGAUAAAAACCCUCUAUGUGGCAAAAACUAUUAAAUGCACAAGCUUUAAGAUUAUUCUGGCAUGCAUUAUAGCGAGUGAAAAAGAGCUAUGACAUGAUAACCAAACUAGUGAGCCACAAUGAUACAUCAGUAGAUUAAAAAAAAAAAGAAUGAUACAUCAGUAUACUAAAAAAGUAUGAUACAUCAGUAUACGAAGAGUUAGGGUCUGUUUUGUUUACAUUAAUUUGAGCUUAGAAAAGCUGCUGUGAGUUAUGUGCUGUGAAAUGAUUGUAAGCUAUUUGGUUAAAAUAACCCUG
rnacentral:lncRNA from 1 species